rnacentral:rRNA from 1 species
UACUUUAAAGCUAGGCUUAAAAAA